rnacentral:rRNA from 1 species
AUGGUGCGCUUCCUUUUUUUUCUUGUUUGUAACAAUUAUUUUUGGCUGAUUCUCUGUCAAAAUUUGAGAAGUGUAAAUAUGAGUUAUCGUGAAAAUUUUGGACGAUGUCCUGCAACUUUAACACUUCCUUUUUGUGGUUGGUGCAAUGUUCAUAUAGUUCUAAACUGCUACCAUUCAAAGCAAUCAAGUACAGAUGAAUGCAUAGCAGAGGACACAACCUACCCCAAUUUGCUUGGGACAAAAAGGCUUUGUUGUUGUUGUAUUUUCUCUCCCUUCAACUUUAAGCAGGGUGGAAGAUCUGAGCUCUCAGCACUGGCUCACCAAUGGUAA